rnacentral:rRNA from 1 species
GAGGCGAUGAAGGACGUGCUAAUCUGCGAUAAGCGUCGGUAAGGUGAUAUGAACCGUUAUAACCGGCGAUUUCCGAAUGGGGAAACCCAGUGUGAUUCGUCACACUAUCAUUAACUGAAUCCAUAGGUUAAUGAGGCGAACCGGGGGAACUGAAACAUCUAAGUACCCCGAGGAAAAGAAAUCAACCGAGAUUCCCCCAGUAGCGGCGAGCGAACGGGGAGGAGCCCAGAGCCUGAAUCAGUGUGUGUGUUAGUGGAAGCGUCUGGAAAGGCGCGCGAUACAGGGUGACAGCCCCGUACACAAAAAUGCACAUGCUGUGAGCUCGAUGAGUAGGGCGGGACACGUGGUAUCCUGUCUGAAUAUGGGGGGACCAUCCUCCAAGGCUAAAUACUCCUGACUGACCGAUAGUGAACCAGUACCGUGAGGGAAAGGCGAAAAGAACCCCGGCGAGGGGAGUGAAAAAGAACCUGAAACCGUGUACGUACAAGCAGUGGGAGCCUCUUUAUGGGGUGACUGCGUACCUUUUGUAUAAUGGGUCAGCGACUUAUAUUCUGUAGCAAGGUUAACCGAAUAGGGGAGCCGAAGGGAAACCGAGUCUUAACUGGGCGUUAAGUUGCAGGGUAUAGACCCGAAACCCGGUGAUCUAGCCAUGGGCAGGUUGAAGGUUGGGUAACACUAACUGGAGGACCGAACCGACUAAUGUUGAAAAAUUAGCGGAUGACUUGUGGCUGGGGGUGAAAGGCCAAUCAAACCGGGAGAUAGCUGGUUCUCCCCGAAAGCUAUUUAGGUAGCGCCUCGUGAAUUCAUCUCCGGGGGUAGAGCACUGUUUCGGCAAGGGGGUCAUCCCGACUUACCAACCCGAUGCAAACUGCGAAUACCGGAGAAUGUUAUCACGGGAGACACACGGCGGGUGCUAACGUCCGUCGUGAAGAGGGAAACAACCCAGACCGCCAGCUAAGGUCCCAAAGUCAUGGUUAAGUGGGAAACGAUGUGGGAAGGCCCAGACAGCCAGGAUGUUGGCUUAGAAGCAGCCAUCAUUUAAAGAAAGCGUAAUAGCUCACUGGUCGAGUCGGCCUGCGCGGAAGAUGUAACGGGGCUAAACCAUG